AAACUGAAGAGUUUGAUCCUGGCUCAGAUUGAACGCUGGCGGCAUGCCUUACACAUGCAAGUCGAACGGCAGCACGGGUGCUUGCACCUGGUGGCGAGUGGCGAACGGGUGAGUAAUACAUCGGAACAUGUCCUGUAGUGGGGGAUAGCCCGGCGAAAGCCGGAUUAAUACCGCAUACGAUCUACGGAUGAAAGCGGGGGACCUUCGGGCCUCGCGCUAUAGGGUUGGCCGAUGGCUGAUUAGCUAGUUGGUGGGGUAAAGGCCUACCAAGGCGACGAUCAGUAGCUGGUCUGAGAGGACGACCAGCCACACUGGGACUGAGACACGGCCCAGACUCCUACGGGAGGCAGCAGUGGGGAAUUUUGGACAAUGGGCGAAAGCCUGAUCCAGCAAUGCCGCGUGUGUGAAGAAGGCCUUCGGGUUGUAAAGCACUUUUGUCCGGAAAGAAAUCCUUGGUUCUAAUAUA
rnacentral:rRNA from 1 species